rnacentral:lncRNA from 1 species
AUAAAAGUUAUGCGUAGGUCAGGCUACGACCUAAAACUGCUAGAGACACGGAUUGGGGAAUAAAGCUAUCUUCCUGGGACAAGAGUAAAUCAGAAUGAAACUGAAGUACCCAAGCCAAAGGAAAUUCGAUUUCAUAAAGAAAUACGAACACAAACUCAACUAGGGAAGAAAAACUUCAGCACAGAAGUAAAAGAGAUAUACUAUCUACCACCGGUUACUGGGUAGGAAGAUAAUACACUUGGACAAAGGGACAUCC